CCUGCCCCUAGAUGCUUUGCUGGUGUGACUGCCACAUCAUAUGUGUGUCUCUGGAAAGCAGAGAGGAAAGACCUUAUGUGUAUGCUCAGUGUUAUGACCUAUGAACACCUGAAUGUUUAGUACCCUAAUAGU